GCUUACGGCCAUACCACCCUGAAUGCGCCCGAUCUCGUCUGAUCUCGGAAGCUAAGCAGGGUCAGGCCUGGUUAGUACUUGGAUGGGAGACCGCCUGGGAAUACCAGGUGCUGUAUGCU
rnacentral:rRNA from 1 species